rnacentral:rRNA from 1 species
GUCCUAGCCGUAAACGAUGCACAUUAGACGUGAGGGGUAUCGACCCCCUUCGUGUCGACGCAAACGCAUUAAAUGUGCCGCCUGGGGAGUACGGCCGCAAGGUUGAAACUCAAAGGAAUUGACGGGGGCCCCGCACAAGCGGUGGAGCAUGUGGUUUAAUUCGACGCAACGCGAAGAACCUUACCUGGGCUUGAACUGUUGGUAGUAGAAGCGAUGAAAGUCGCGACGAACCGUCAAGUCGGUUGCCAAUAGAGGUGCUGCAUGGCUGUCGU